rnacentral:lncRNA from 1 species
UACCAAUUCCGCUCUUAACUACCCGAAUAAUUACGUCAUUUUAUUUGACUGCGUAUCCCCGUAUCAUUGAAAUACAAUAGUUACCAAUUCUCCUCUUAAACUACUUGAAUAAUUACGUCAUUUUAUUCACUGCGUAUCCCCGUAUCCCCGUAUCAUUGAAAUAUAAUAGUUACCCAUUCUCCUUUUAAACUACUCGAAUAAUUACGUCAUUUUAUUCACUGCGUAUCCCCGUAUCCCCGUAUCAUUGAAAUAUAAUAGUUACCCAUUCUCCUUUUAAACUACUCGAAUAAUUACGUCAUUUUAUUCACUGCGUAUCCCCGUAUCCCCGUAUCAUUGAAAUAUAAUAGUUAACCAUUCUCCUUUUAAACUACACGAGUAAUUACGUCAUUUUAUUCACUGCGUAUCCCCGUAUCCCCGUAUCAUUUAAAUAUAAUAGUUACCAAUUCUGCUCUUAACUACCCGAACAAUUAUGUCAUUUUAUUUGACUGCGUAUCCCCGUAUCAUUGAAAUACAAUAGUUACCAAUUCUCCUCUUAAACUACUCGAAUAAUUACGUCAUUUUAUUUGACUGCGUAUCCCCGUAUCCCCGUAUCAUUGAAAUAUAAUAGUUACCCAUUCUCCUUUUAGACUACUCGAAUAAUUACGUCAUUUUAUUUGACUGCGUAUCCCCGUAUCCCCGUAUCAUUGAAAUAUAAUAGUUACCCAUUCUCCUCUUAUUAAACUUCUCGAAUAAUUACGUCAUUUUAUUUGACUGCGUAUCCCCGUAUCAUUGAAAUAUAAUAGUUACCCAUUCUCCUCUUAUUAAACUUCUCGAAUAAUUACGUCAUUUUAUUUGACUGCGUAUCCCCGUAUCAUUGAAAUAUAAUAGUUACCCAUUCUCCUCUUAUUAAACUUCUCGAAUAAUUACGUCAUUUUAUUUGACUGCGUAUCCCCGUAUCAUUGAAAUAUAAUAGUUACCCAUUCUCCUCUUAUUAAACUUCUCGAAUAAUUACGUCAUUUUAUUUGACUGCGUAUCCCCGUAUCAUUGAAAUAUAAUAGUUACCCAUUCUCCUCUUAUUAAACUUCUCGAAUAAUUACGUCAUUUUAUUUGACUGCGUAUCCCCGUAUCAUUGAAAUAUAAUAGUUACCCAUUCUCCUCUUAUUAAACUUCUCGAAUAAUUACGUCAUUUUAUUUGACUGCGUAUCCCCAUAUCCCCGUAUCAUUGAAAUAUAAUAGUUACCAAUUCUCCUCUUAAUUUACCCAUUCUCCUCUUAUUAAACUUCUCGAAUAAUUACGUCAUUUUAUUUGACUGCGUAUCCCCAUAUCCCCGUAUCAUUGAAAUAUAAUAGUUACCAAUUCUCCUCUUAAUUACUCGAAUAAUUACGUCAUUUUAUUUGACUGCGUAU